CGGAGUGGCGAACGGGUGAGUAAUAUAUCGGAACGUGCCCAUUAGUGGGGGAUAGCCCGGCGAAAGCCGGAUUAAUACCGCAUACGACCUGAGGGUGAAAGCGGGGGAUCGCAAGACCUCGCGCUAUUGGAGCGGCCGAUAUCAGAUUAGCUAGUUGGUGGGGUAAAGGCCUACCAAGGCAACGAUCUGUAGUUGGUCUGAGAGGACGACCAGCCACACUGGGACUGAGACACGGCCCAG
rnacentral:rRNA from 1 species